rnacentral:rRNA from 1 species
AGCAGCCGCGGUAAUUCCAGCUCCAAUAGCGUAUAUUAAAGUUGUUGCAGUUAAAAAGCUCGUAGUUGAAUUUCGGGGUUAGUAGAUUGGUCAUGCCUUUGGUAUGUACUGGUCUUACUGAUUCCUCCUUCCUGAUGAACCGUAAUGCCAUUAAUUUGGUGUUGCGGGGAGACUGGACUGUUACUUUGAAAAAAUUAGAGUGUUUAAAGCAGGCUAACGCUUGAAUACAUUAGCAUGGAAUAAUGAAAUAGGACGUUCGAUCCUAUUUUGUUGGUUUCUAGGAUUGACGUAAUGAUUAAUAGGGAUAGUUGGGGGCAUUAGUAUUCAAUUGUCAGAGGUGAAAUUCUUGGAUUUAUUGAAGACUAACUACUGCGAAAGCAUUUGCCAAGGAUGUUUUCAUUAAUCAAGAACGAAAGUUAGGGGAUCGAAGACGAUCAGAUACCGUCGUAG